UACGGAGGGCCCAAGCGUUAUCCGGAAUCAUUGGGCUUAAAGGGUCCGUAGGCGGCCCAGUAAGUCAGUGGUGAAAUCUCCCGGCUCAACCGGGAAAUUGCCAUUGAUACUGCUGGUCUUGAAUUAUUGGGAAGUAACUAGAAUAUGUAGUGUAGCGGUGAAAUGCUUAGAGAUUACAUGGAAUACCAAUUGCGAAGGCAGGCUACUAGCAAUAUAUUGACGCUGAUGGACGAAAGCGUGGGUAGCGAACAGG
rnacentral:rRNA from 1 species